rnacentral:lncRNA from 1 species
CCCUCAGUGCGCCUGCGCACUGGUUCCGCGCUGACUCCUGGGGCUUCUCCCUAAUGCACUAGGGCUUCUUAACGCGCUGCUGCUUUGAGAGCGAUUGACUUUAUGAAAACGAACGGGAUGAACUAAGCUGACUUAGUGCUUCACAGGACCCAUGACUGGGAGGCCUGAGGAAACUUGCAGUUAUGGCGAAAGAUGAAGGGGAAACACGGACCUUCUUCACAUGGUGGCAAGAGGGAGAGAGAGCGAAAGGUGAAAUGCUCUUAUACUGACUAAAUUUUAGUUAGAAGUCCUUCUCCUGGAACUUCGGCUUUUGUGGCUUAUACAACAUGCGAUGCAGUGAGCCUCGAGUUCCAUAAGGUGGCAUCAACCCACUAGAGUGAGUAGGGGACACGGCUGAUUUUAUUUCAGGUGACCUUGGACCUUCAACUUUCAUUAAUUCCUAUAGUUGUUUAUGCAAAUAGAAAAUUCAAAGACAUUGUAAAAGCUUCCUUCAUAUCUAAUAGCUUCUGACUUACAAAAAGAAAAUUUCAAA